CAGCUCCACGUCGACAUUCUUCCAGCUGCAUAUAGUGAACUGCACAGGACCGAGGGGGGGAAGAAGAAGAAGAAGAAAAAGGUGGAAGCGGCGGCGGCGGCAGCGGCAGCAGUGAACCACCUCACCGACCAGAGCAGCUCUGCAAGUCCCGCACCACCGACACGAUCCGGGCGGUUUGCACCAUGAACCCAGCCAUGGUGGAUCAGCAGCAGAUCAAGCUCCUCUGCUUUUUGCAUUUUUUUUUUUAAAUCCUCCAGACUGUUUGCCCCCCUCGUGUUGGCUUGCAGCUGCUCCCCCUUACGCGUCCAUACCUCCCCCAGGUUAAAGGAGCACCCGGUCAGGAGGAGGAUAAGUGUCUCGACACAAGGACAAACCUAUGAGGUGGCACUGUGGCUUUCCAAAUAAAGUUCUGUGAUACACUCAGACUCUAGCUGCCUGCAGUCAGUGCAUUACAGAACUUUGUUUUGGGAGUUAAUGCUUUGAACCAGUGGAAAAUAAGAUCCGUCAAACAUCGGGACUUUUCAAUUUACAGCAUGAUUGUUGAUGAAUUUUGUUUGCAAAUGCCUUUUUUUUUUAUUUUCAAAUAAAGUUUCCUCCCUGUUUUUAAGCAUUUUA